AACGUAGGUACCGAGCGUUAUCCGGAUUUACUGGGCGUAAAGCGCACGUAGGCGGAUCGUUAAGUUGGGGGUGAAAUCCUGGAGCUCAACUCCAGAACUGCCUUCAAUACUGGCGAUCUAGAGUCCGGAAGAGGUGAGUGGAACUCCUAGUGUAGAGGUGGAAUUCGUAGAUAUUAGGAAGAACACCAGUGGCGAAGGCGGCUCACUGGUCCGGUACUGACGCUGAGGUGCGAAAGCGUGGGGAGCAAACAGG
rnacentral:rRNA from 1 species